rnacentral:rRNA from 1 species
UACGUAGGGUCCGGAGCGUUAAUCGGAAUUACUGGGCGUAAAGCGUGCGCAGGCGGUUUUGUAAGCCAGAUGUGAAAUCCCCGGGCUCAACCUGGGAAUUGCGAUGGAGACUGCAAGGCUAGAAUCUGGCAGAGGGGGGUGAGAAUUCCACGUGUGAGCAGUGAAAUGCGUUAGAGAUGUGGAGGAAUACCGAUGGCGAAGGCAGCCCCCUGGGAUAACACU